GACAAACCCAAAUGACGACGACGAUGGCGAAGAUGGACAUGAAGGGGGCGUUUCACCGGAUUCUGCACAAUACCUGCGAAAGAAACGGUUGGCACCACUGAGAUCGAAAUGCAUCCCGUCACCAGGGAGAUCAGAUAGGUCAUCAUCAAUAAGACGCGAGGGAUGUGACAUGCUCGGGUUGUGUCGGGAAUUGCCCAGCAUUGGUGAGUUCAAUGUCUUUACCCUUAAUUCUAGCAGGCAGUGCCGCGAUAAUCUGUUCAGCCAAGGUGAGAACGCGUCGCUCCUCUACCUGUUCGACGGCUCCACCCAGACCUUGAAGGCACUCCCGGGACGAAGCUAGAGAUAGAUAUACAGAAGAGAUAGUUGGCCUAAAGGCGUAUGCGUUUUAAAUUAUCUGCGUAUAUAGCCUACGAUCAAUUCUGAACGCAAGAAAAGUAUUGAUCCACUGUUAAUUUUU